AAAUAGAUACCCCGGGGUAGUCCACACCCUAAAACGAUGAUAACUCGAUGUGUGCGAUACACUGUACGCGUCUAAGCGAAAGCAUUAAGUUAUCCACCUGGGGAGUACGGUCGCAAGACUGAAACUCAAAGGAAUUGACGGGGGCCCGCACAAGCGGAGGAGCAUGUGGUUUAAUUCGAUGAUACGCGAGGAACCUUACCUGGGCUUGAAAGUUAGUGAAUGUCGUAGAAAUAUGACAGCUAGCAAUAGCACGAAACUAGGUGCUGCAUGGCUGUCGUCAGCUCGUGCCGUGAGGUGUUGGGUUAAGUCCCGUAUCGAGCGCAACCCCUAUCAUUAGUUGCCAACAGGUCAAGCUGGGGACUCUAAUGAGACUGCCCGCGCAAGCGGUGAGGAAGGUGGGGAUGACGUCAAGUCAUCACGGCCCUUACGUCCAGGGCUACACACGUGCUACAAUGGCCGGUACAAUGGGCUGCCACAUGGUAACAUGGAGCUAAUCCUUAAAACCGGCCUCAUUCGGAUUG
rnacentral:rRNA from 1 species